rnacentral:tRNA from 1 species
GCAUCGGUCGCCGAUUGGUAACGGCUGACAGUCUGUAAAACUGUCGCGCUGCUUGCGCUAUGAAAGUUCAAAUCUUUCCCGAUGCACCA